UACGUAGGGGGCAAGCGUUGUCCGGAUUCAUUGGGCGUAAAGAGCUCGUAGGCGGUUCGGCAAGUCGGGUGUGAAAACUCCAGGCUCAACCUGGAGACGCCAACCGAUACUGCUGUGACUAGAGUGCGGUAGGGGAGACUGGAAUUCCUGGUGUAGCGGUGAAAUGCGCAGAUAUCAGGAGGAACACCGGUGGCGAAGGCGAGUCUCUGGGCCGUAACUGACGCUGAGGAGCGAAAGCAUGGGGAGCGAACAGG
rnacentral:rRNA from 1 species